GGAUCGUGGCUCAGUGAUAGAGUGCUCGCCUAGCAUGCAGGAGGCACUGGGUUCGAUCCUCAGCACCA
rnacentral:tRNA from 1 species